rnacentral:rRNA from 1 species
ACGGGGUGCAGCAGGCGCGAAAACUCCGCAAUGCGGGAAACCGCGACGGGGCCACCCNGAGUGCCGGCCGAAGAGGCCGGCUUUUGCCCGGUGUAAGGANCCGGGCGAAUAAGCGGGGGGCAAGUCUGGUGUCAGCCGCCGCGGUAAUACCAGCCCCGNGAGUGGUNGGGGUGAUUACUGGGCCUAAAGCGCCCGUAGCCGGCCCGGCAAGUCCUCCCCGAAAUCCCCGGGCUCAACCCGGGGGCUGGGGAGGAUACUGCCGGGCUUGGGGGCGGGAGAGGCCGAGGGUACUCCCGGGGUAGGGGCGAAAUCCGAUAAUCCCGGGAGGACCACCAGUGGCGAAGGCGCUCGGCUGGAACGCGCCCGACGGUGAGGGGCGAAAGCUGGGGGAGCAAAGGGGAUUAGAUACCCCUGUAGUCCCAGCUGUAAACGAUGCGGG